rnacentral:rRNA from 1 species
CCUACGGGGCGCACCAGUGGGGAAUAUUGCACAAUGGGCGCAAGCCUGAUGCAGCCAUGCCGCGUGUAUGAAGAAGGCCUUCGGGUUGUAAAGUACUUUCAGCGGGGAGGAAGGCGGUGAGGUUAAUAACCUCACCGAUUGACGUUACCCGCAGAUGAAGCACCGGCUAACUCCGUGCCAGCAGCCGCGGUAAUACGGAGGGUGCAAGCGUUAAUCGGAAUUACUGGGCGUAAAGCGCACGCAGGCGGUCUGUCAAGUCGGAUGUGAAAUCCCCGGGCUCAACCUGGGAACUGCAUUCGAAACUGGCAGGCUAGAGUCUUGUAGAGGGGGGUAGAAUUCCAGGUGUAGCGGUGAAAUGCGUAGAGAUCUGGAGGAAUACCGGUGGCGAAGGCGGCCCCCUGGACAAUGACUGACGCUCAGGUGCGAAAGCGUGGGGAGCAAACAGGAUUAGAUACCCGUGUAGUC